rnacentral:rRNA from 1 species
GUGGGGAAUUUUGGACAAUGGGCGAAAGCCUGAUCCAGCCAUGCCGCGUGCAGGAUGAAGGCCUUCGGGUUGUAAACUGCUUUUGUACGGAACGAAAAGACUCUGGUUAAUACCUGGGGUCCAUGACGGUACCGUAAGAAUAAGCACCGGCUAACUACGUGCCAGCAGCCGCGGUAAUACGUAGGGUGCAAGCGAUAAUCGGAAUUACUGGGCGUAAAGCGUGCGCAGGCGGUUAUAUAAGACAGAUGUGAAAUCCCCGGGCUCAACCUGGGAACUGCAUUUGUGACUGUAUAGCUAGAGUACGGCAGAGGGGGAUGGAAUUCCGCGUGUAGCAGUGAAAUGCGUAGAUAUGCGGAGGAACACCGAUGGCGAAGGCAAUCCCCUGGGCCUGUACUGACGCUCAUGCACGAAAGCGUGGGGAGCAAACAGGAUUAGAAACCCGGGUAGUCC